GGUAGCUUAGUCAGGUAAAGCGUGCGGCUGUUAACCGCAUUUACGUAGGUUCAAAUCCUACU
rnacentral:tRNA from 18 species